rnacentral:lncRNA from 1 species
CCAAAGGGAGACCAGUGUCCACGGAGCUCCAUGAAGAGGCACAGUGUGAACGAAGUUUAUAAAGGGCUACAUCCUUCAGGUUUGGAGUGACUUGGUUGGGGGACACAGCCUUGAGAAGAGGAGAAGGAAGUCGCCAUGAGGGCAGAUGGGUGAUGAGCACACAGCCAGGAGAAACAGCAGUUUCAAAAUCACCAGACCAUUCAUUCUCUGCCUUUUGGUGUCCAUACUACAGCUUCAUCUGAAAAGGAAACCAAUAAAAACCCGAUACAAGCCAAGUUUG